UACAGAGGUCCCAAGCGUUGUUCGGAUUCACUGGGCGUAAGGGUGCGUAGGCGGUCGGGUAAGUCUGAUGUGAAAUCUCACAGCUUAACUGUGAAACUGCAUUGGAUACUAUCCGGCUUGAGAGUUGGAGGGGGGACUGGAAUUCUUGGUGUAGCAGUGAAUGACGUAGAUAUCAAGAGGAACACCAGUGGCGAAGGCGAGUCCCUGGACAACUUCUGACGCUGAGGCACGAAAGCUAGGGGAGCAAACAGG
rnacentral:rRNA from 1 species